GGCCUGAUGGUCUAGGAGUAUGAUUCGUUGUUAGGGUUCGAGAAGAACGUUCGACGAGGUCCCGGGUUCAAUUCCCGGUCAGGCCC